rnacentral:rRNA from 1 species
GGUCAAGCGAAUAAGCGCACACGGUGGAUGCCUUGGCGGUCAGAGGCGAUGAAGGACGUGGCAGCCUGCGAAAAGUAUCGGGGAGCUGGCAACAAGCUUUGAUCCGGUAAUGUCCGAAUGGGGAAACCCACCCGCUUGCGGGUAUCCUGCAGUGAAUACAUAGCUGCUGGAAGCGAACCUGGUGAACUGAAAUAUCUAAGUAACCAGAGGAAAAGAAAUCAACCGAGAUUCCGUAAGUAGCGACGAGCGAACGCGGACUAGCCCUUAAGCUGGAUUGGUUCUAGGAAAACGCUCUGGAAAGAGCGGCCAUAGAAGGUGAUAGCCCUGUAUCUGAAAGGGCCAUUCCAGUGAAGACGAGUAGGGCGGGGCACGUGAAACCCUGUCUGAAUAUGGGGGGACCAUCCUCCAAGGCUAAAUACUACUGACCGACCGAUAGUGAACCAGUACCGUGAGGGAAAGGCGAAAAGAACCCCGGAGAGGGGAGUGAAAUAGAACCUGAAACCGUGUGCGUACAAGCAGUAGGAGCUCCGCAAGGAGUGACUGCGUACCUUUUGUAUAAUGGGUCAGCGACUUACUGUUCGUGGCAAGCUUAACCGUAUAGGGGAGGCGAAGGGAAACCGAGUCUGAUAAGGGCGCAUAGUCGCGGGCAGUAGACCCGAAACCGGGUGAUCUAGUCAUGCCCAGGGUGAAGGUGCGGUAACACGCACUGGAGGCCCGAACCCACUCCCGUUGCAAAGGUAGGGGAUGAGGUGUGAUUAGGAGUGAAAAGCUAAUCGAACCCGGAGAUAGCUGGUUCUCCUCGAAAGCUAUUUAGGUAGCGCCUCAUAUGUAUCCUCUCGGGGGUAGAGCACUGUUAUGGCUAGGGGGUCAUCGCGACUUACCAAACCAUUGCAAACUCCGAAUACCGAGACGGACUGUAUGGGAGACACACGGCGGGUGCUAACGUCCGUCGUGAAAAGGGAAACAACCCAGACCCACAGCUAAGGUCCCAAAUUUUGUGCUAAGUGGAAAACCAUGUGGAAAGGCACAGACAGCCAGGAGGUUGGCUUAGAAGCAGCCACCCUUUAAAGAAAGCGUAAUAGCUCACUGGUCGAGUCGGUCUGCGGGGAAGAUUUAACGGGGCUAAGCACAGAACCGAAGCUUGGGGUGCAUACUUUGUAUGCGCGGUAGAGGAGCGUUCCGUAAGCCGUUGAAGGUGGAUUGAGAAGUCUGCUGGAGGUAUCGGAAGUGCGAAUGCUGACAUGAGUAACGAUAAUGCGGGUGAAAAACCCGCACGCCGAAAGCCCAAGGUUUCCUUGCGCAACGUUAAUCGGCGCAGGGUGAGUCGGCCCCUAAGGCGAGGACGAAAGUCGUAGUCGAUGGGAAGCAGGUUAAUAUUCCUGCACCUCGCGUAAGUGCGAUGGAGGGACGGAGAAGGUUAGGUGUACCAGGCGUUGGUUGUCCUGGGGAAAGGCGGUAGGUUUGGAUCUUUGGCAAAUCCGGGAUCCUCUAAGACCGAGCACCGAGACGAGCCUUUAUGGCGAAGUCACUGAUACCACGCUUCCAGGAAAAGCUCCUAAGCUUCAGCUUACGCAGACCGUACCGUAAACCGACACAGGUGGGUAGGAUGAGAAUUCUCAGGCGCUUGAGAGAACUCGGGUGAAGGAACUAGGCAACAUGGCACCGUAACUUCGGGAGAAGGUGCACCCUUUUUGGUGGCUCGUGCGAGCUAUAGCUGAAGAGGGUCGCAGUAACCAGGCCGCUGCGACUGUUUAUCAAAAACACAGCACUCUGCAAACACGAAAGUGGACGUAUAGGGUGUGACGCCUGCCCGGUGCUGGAAGGUUAAUUGAUGGGGUCAGCCGCAAGGCGAAGCUCUUGAUCGAAGCCCCAGUAAACGGCGGCCGUAACUAUAACGGUCCUAAGGUAGCGAAAUUCCUUGUCGGGUAAGUUCCGACCUGCACGAAUGGCGUAACGACAGCGGCGCUGUCUCCACCCGAGACUCAGUGAAAUUGAAAUCGCUGUGAAGAUGCAGCGUUCCCGUGGCAAGACGGAAAGACCCCGUGAACCUUUACUAUAGCUUUACACUGAACGUUGAGUUCGUCUGUGUAGGAUAGGUGGGAGGCUAUGAAACUGUGGCGCCAGCUGCAGUGGAGCCAUCCUUGAAAUACCACCCUGUCGUGCUUGACGUUCUAACCUAGGCCCAUUAUCUGGGUCGGGGACCGUGUAUGGUGGGUAGUUUGACUGGGGCGGUCUCCUCCUAAAGAGUAACGGAGGAGCUCGAAGGUACGCUCAGCGCGGUCGGACAUCGCGCACUGUGUGCAAAGGCAUAAGCGUGCUUGACUGCAAGAUCGACGGAUCAAGCAGGUAGGAAACUAGGACUUAGUGAUCCGGUGGUUCUGUAUGGAAGGGCCAUCGCUCAACGGAUAAAAGGUACUCCGGGGAUAACAGGCUGAUACCGCCCAAGAGUUCAUAUCGACGGCGGUGUUUGGCACCUCGAUGUCGGCUCAUCACAUCCUGGGGCUGUAGUCGGUCCCAAGGGUAUGGCUGUUCGCCAUUUAAAGUGGUACGCGAGCUGGGUUCAGAACGUCGUGAGACAGUUCGGUCCCUAUCUGCCAUGGGCGUUGGAGAUUUGAGAGGGGCUGCUCCUAGUACGAGAGGACCGGAGUGGACGAACCUCUGGUGUUCCGGUUGUCACGCCAGUGGCAUUGCCGGGUAGCUAUGUUCGGAAGCGAUAACCGCUGAAAGCAUCUAAGCGGGAAGCGCGCCUCAAGAUGAGAUCUCCCGGGGCACAAGCCCCCUGAAGGAACCAUGUAGACUACGUGGUUGAUAGGUCAGGUGUGUAAGUACAGCAAUGUAUUGAGCUAACUGAUACUAAUGAUCCGUGCGGCUUGACCAU